rnacentral:rRNA from 1 species
CCCUUAGAUGUUCUGGGCUGCACGCGCGCUACACUGAUGCACUCAACGAGUUUACGACCUUGCCCGAUAGGGUUGGGUAAUCUUUUUAAAAUGCAUCGUGAUGGGGAUAGAUUAUUGCAAUUAUUAAUCUUCAACGAGGAAUUCCUAGUAAGCGCGAGUCAUCAGCUCGUGCUGAUUACGUCCCUGCCCUUUGUACACACCGCCCGUCGCUCCUACCGAUUGAGUGCUCAGGUGAAUAAUUCGGACUGCAGCAAUGUUUGGAUCCCGAACGUUGCAGUGGAAAGUUUAGUGAACCUUAUCACUUAGAGGAAGGAGAAGUUGUAACA